rnacentral:rRNA from 1 species
UACGGGUGCGAAACACGUGUGCAACUGGCUUUAUCUGGGGGAUAGCUUUCCGAAAGGGAAGAUUAUUACCCCAUAAUAUGUUGAAUGGGCUUCAUCCGAGGUUUGGAAAACUCCCGGGUGGGAUUAAGAAGAUUGGGGCACCGCGGCCAAAGAAUUAGAAUAGUUUGGGUGAAGGUAACGGGUCCAACCAAGUUCUACGAAUCUUUUAGGGGGGCCUGAGAAGGGGUGGAUUCCCCCAAAAUUGGGUUACUGGAGGACACGGGAACCAGAAUUCCUUAACGGGAAGGGCAGACAAGGUGGGAAGGAAUUUAUUUGGGGACCAUUGGGGGUUGGAAGAAGCCCUUGGAUUCCCCAGCCCAUUCACCAGGGGUUGGAAAAGGGACGGAACUUGGGCCCUAAUUGGGGGUUCUGGUUAAACCUUUCCUUUUUUGGUCAUUAAGGGGGAUUCAAAAACCUAAACCCUUCGGUGAAGGGUNAAGCUUGGUAAACGGGGUUCACUUAAUUCAACGGAAAUUUAGGGCAAACCCGGGGGUUUAAACAUUUCCCNGGUUGGCCCAAGCUAAGACCCCGGCAGGGUUAAUUCACACGGGAAGGGGUUGC